GACAGAGGGUGCAAGCGUUGUUCGGAAUUAUUGGGCGUAAAGGGCGCGUAGGCGGUCUCGUAAGUUGGAUGUGAAAUCCCAGGGCUCAACCCUGGAAGUGCAUCCAAAACUGCUUGACUUGAAUCCCGGAGAGGGUGGUGGAAUUCCCAGUGUAGAGGUGAAAUUCGUAGAUAUUGGGAGGAACACCGGUGGCGAAGGCGACCACCUGGACGGAGAUUGACGCUGAGGUGCGAAAGCGUGGGGAGCAAACAGG
rnacentral:rRNA from 1 species